CUACGGGGCGCACCAGUGGGGAAUAUUGCACAAUGGGGGAAACCCUGAUGCAGCAACGCCGCGUGGAGGAUGACGCAUUUAGGUGUGUAAACUCCUUUUAUAUAAGAAGAUAAUGACGGUAUUAUAUGAAUAAGCACCGGCUAACUCCGUGCCAGCAGCCGCGGUAAUACGGGGGGUGCAAGCGUUACUCGGAAUCACUGGGCGUAAAGAGAGUGUAGGCGUCCUAACAAGUCAGGUGUGAAAUCCUAUGGCUCAACCAUAGAACUGCACUUGAAACUGUUAGGAUAGAGGUCAGAAGGGGCAGGUGGAAUUAGUGGUGUAGGGGUAAAAUCCGUAGAUAUCACUAGGAAUACCCAAAGCGAAGGCGACCUGCUGGGAUGACACUGACGCUGAGACUCGAAAGCGUGGGGAGCAAACAGGAUUAGAUACCCGAGUAGUC
rnacentral:rRNA from 1 species